rnacentral:rRNA from 1 species
UACGUAGGGUGCGAGCGUUAAUCGGAAUUACUGGGCGUAAAGCGUGCGCAGGCGGUUUUGUAAGCCAGAUGUGAAAUCCCCGGGCUUAACCUGGGAAUGGCAUUUGGGACUGCAAGGCUCGAGUUUGGCAGAGGAGACUGGAAUUCCUGGUGUAGCAGUGAAAUGCGUAGAUAUCAGGAGGAAUACCGAUGGCGAAGGCAGGUCUCUGGGCUGACACUGACGCUCAUGCACGAAAGCGUGGGGAGCAAACAGG